UUGGACCUGAUAUCAGGCAAGAUUACCCGCUGACU
rnacentral:rRNA from 2 species